rnacentral:rRNA from 1 species
CCUACGGGAGGCAGCAGUAGGGAAUCUUUCACAAUGGGCGAAAGCCUGAUGGAGCAACGCCGCGUGCAGGAUGAAGGCCUUCGGGUUGUAAACUGCUUUUAUAAGCGAGAAAUAUGAUGGUAACUUAUGAAUAAGGAUCGGCUAACUACGUGCCAGCAGCCGCGGUCAUACGUAGGAUCCGAGCAUUAUCCGGAGUGACUGGGUGUAAAGAGUUGCGUAGGUGGCAUAAUAAGUAGCUAGUGAAAUCUGGUGGCUCAACCAUUCAGACUAUUAGCUAAACUGUUAAGCUCGAGACCGUUAGGGGUAACUGGAAUUUCUAGUGUAGGAGUGAAAUCCGUAGAUAUUAGAAGGAACACCAAUAGCGUAGGCAGGUUGCUGGGACGGUUCUGACACUAAGGCACGAAAGCGUAGGGAGCAAACGGGAUCAGAUACCCGUGUAGUC